UGAGACUCGGCGGCGUCACCCCAGCUCCCCCCGGUCCUACCCCAUGGAGGCCCGGCCAAACCACCACGGCGGCGGGAUGAAGGGAACCGAGGCAGAGCCCUGGGCCUGAAGGAAGGGGGGGGGGGGGGGGUGGCUUCCCUGCGCUGGGCGCGGGACUCUCCCGGCCGGGGAGCGCUCCCAGCCCCCACCAGCCCCGAGCCCAACGGGGCAGCCUCGCGAGGCCUCCGCGGGCCCCGAGGGAAGCGGGGGCACCGGGCAGCCCUCCUUAACGCCCCUCUUCUCACCUCCCCCCCUCCCGGCAGGGGCACACGGAGCGCCGCGGCGCCCAGGCCUCCUUCUCCCGCCCUUCCCGGCUCCUACCGACCUGGAGACGGCCAUAGCCGCCCGGAGCGGUGCCCGGCGAGAGGCGAGCGGCGGGACGGCGAGCGGGGGGCCGGCGCCGCGGUGGCAGGGGGGAAGGCGCGGGGCCUAGCUGCAGGCCUCUCGUGCGCCGCGCCCGGCCUCGGCCCCGCCGGGGAUCCGCGGGCAGCGGCUGAGCGCGGCUGUGGUCGAUAGCGGUCGGGGGCUCGCUCCGCCCGGAAAGGCGGCGGCAGCGCGGGCGAGAGCGGCGCGCAGCCCUCGGAGCGCGGGUUAAAGCCUCAAUUCCCCCAUCGCCGGGGCGAAGCCCAAUGCCUGGUUUUAUACGAGCAGCCAUCUUGUAUUUAUUCCCUUCCUCCAUGAUAGCCGCUUCCUGAUUGGCAAGAGCACCCGGCCGCAGCCAAUGGAGAGAGCGCUUCCAAGAGAGGGGAGGGCGGGCGCACGCAGCACCCGGGCUGAGCAGGGCCGGCCAUGGAGCCCGCCGAGCCGGCUGGGAGCGGGGCGCCGGCCUUCGGCGGGCUGUGCCAUCCGCGCGCGGGAGGAGGGAGGAGCGCGGGGGAGAGCGCUCCGGUCGCCAUCCCCGAGGAGCGAAGAGAGGCACAAGAAAGGUGCUAGACGCGCGUUUCCACGCUAGCCCGCCGAGUGCUGGCGCGUCUCUGCCAAAGCGACGGGAGAGGGCGGCGCGAGUCCGGGGAGCUCACGCUGCGGCCCCCGCUCGCUGAGGUGCGCCGUCCCUCGGCCUUCACCCUGGCGAUGCGGCGCUGUUGAAGAGCCCCGCCGAGACUGCAACUCCCGGCGUGCAGCGCGCCCAGCGCCGCGCUUGCGCACCAAGGCCUGGUGGGGUGGGGCCGGCCGCUGCCGCUGCCUCGCGGCCCCAUCGGCGUUCCGGAGCGGUCGUUCAGUCAGGGCUGGAAGCGGAGGUGAUAGCGGGGAGCCGUGACCAGACCCGCCCGGCGGCCGUUCGUUUCGGUCACAGCGGUUCUAAUCGCCACCGACCCCGGCGCGGCCCAGACAGGCGGCCCUCCCGCGCUCUGCCGUGCCCCGAGGCGCUGAGGGCCCCGCGCCGGGACGGCCGCCGAACUCAGCGGGCUGUGCCGUCACCUCAGGAUCCGGGGCGAGAGAAAUCGGGAAAUCAGACAGAGGAAGAGUUUUGGAGUUAAUCUGCAUUAAUGAGCCCAGAUCGAGACAUAAAUAGAGCUGGCGCACGUAACCUUUCAUGUGAUGAGUUGAAAACACAAUCAUAGAUUUUUUUUUUCCUAUGAGUUAUUCAUAAACUUGCAUAAAUGCAUUAAAUCUGCAUAGUACCAUAGGGUGAAGUCUUUAUCUGCGGCCCCGUGAGGCAUGCACAGCCCGACGAGCCCUCAGAGAGACAUUUCUGCUCGUCCCCAGCGUUCCUGAGGAGGGAUUUGCUUUUUCUUUGUGGUAAACUCCUAGUAUGGAAUCAUUCCUCAGUAACAUGCAGUUAGACACAAUUCCAUCUGCAUCCUCACCAUCUUUGUACUUUGUAUAGUUCUAUAAGAGAGACACAACUACAUUGUACCUCUAGCACAUGGCUCCUGCCUGUACCUGAGUCCCUCAGGAAGGUUCCCCCACAGAGUGCUGGGGAACAAAACGGCUCUCCCUGCCUGUUCCCUCUCCCGUCCUUUGGUGGGAGAUCGGUGGUGAUGAGGAAUGGAUGCUGAAAGCAGUGACUCCAGAAGUACCAACCACCAACAACGUGAGUCAACUGGAGGCCCCACAUCACAGAAUGUAGCCAGAGCAAACCACGGACUUCAUUUUCUGUGGCGGAGACAGUUUUUGUCACAGUGCUGUGCUCAGUGACCCAGAUAAAGUCUGUUCCCUCUCGUGGAGCUGAGGUCCUUCUGUUGCAUUUGGUGGGGGAAUUAUAUCUUCAUCUGAAUCCCAUACAUCCAUUCCAAGGUUACUAUGAAGAAU
rnacentral:lncRNA from 1 species